rnacentral:lncRNA from 1 species
AUCAGAGGGUGACACGAAAAGAGCCAGUUUUUAGUUUCUGAUUUUGGGGGAAUGUUUCUGAUUGGGCGGUGGCUUUGGUAGGUUUGUGUACUUCAGAAAAACAAAUGGCACAAACUGUGGGUCCCAGAAUGGACCAAAGACCCGGGUCACUGCCACUGUCCAGCUGAGACUCUGAGACUAACGGGCUACCUCCCCCACCCGUGGCCCCCUGAGCCAUAGGACUGCUGAAAACCACUGAAUGUACAGCCCAGGUUGGGGUGGGGAGUUGCCCCUGGGGGAGGGGGCUUCUCCUUUUGUUUGGUGCUGUGGGGGGUGGGAGACUUGAGACUGAGGGACUGCCACCCCAGGUAGACACGUGUUCCUUGGGGUGGAGGGGCUGAGGAGGGCCGCCUCCCUCUCUAACCCCAGCCAUGGCCCCUCCUCCCUCCUCACCCCUAUCCGUUCUGACUGUAAGUCCAGCUCACCUUUGCCUUCAAUAUGUAACCAAAGGAAAACUCAACACUGUCUCCACCGCUGUCUGCCCACCCAAGCACCUUCUUCCUCCCCGGAUCAGAAGGGGAGAAGAGGCUGGGGGUGGGGAUGGUGGGGCCUGAGUGAAUGGUUCUACAACUGUACCCCCAAAACCCUCUCUGUGGUCUUGGAAGGGGUCCUGAGAGGCGGGGUGAGGCCAGGCUGCCGGGCUGGGAGUAUGCACACUGUGUCUGUUAUGCACAUGAGUGUUUCUCUGUCGAAGACUCUAGUAACUGCUCCAGCAGGGAGGCCCCUCCUCCUUCCCUCUCAGCCGUUUCUCACCCUCUCCCCACACCCAGUGUUCAUUCCCUGCCUCCCCUUCCCACCGCAAAGGAAAAUAGCCUUACAGACCCUAGCCCAGAAACCCUACUCCGGGGCAAGCCAGUAUGGCCCCA